AUGCCACCAUUGUCUAGCCGCCAAACUAACCAAUUAGAGGACAGAGAGAUGGAGAUAGAUGCAUGUUAAGCCUUUGCCGAGAGAUAUUAUGAGAGUUUGACAUGCAAGUGCAUGCAGUUCUGAACUUAUGCUAUAUACUUAGGUUUAGUUCUUAUACAUUAUAUAUUUAUAUAUAGUGAGAGAGAUUAGAAAAGAUAUGUGUGGUAGAAAUACUUAGUAUUUGGACGUGAUCAAGGAAUUUAUUCAAGUACGUGGAGUCUAGUUAUUGCGGUAGUGACGCGGAUCUUCGUUUUAGCUUUGGGAUCGAGGUAUUGGUGAGGAAUAUUGCUUGCUUGGCUUGGAGACCAGGACCGGUGCACCUACAAAUAGACGAUCUGGACUAAGGUCGGGACAAGCGUUGUUUGUUACUUGUCAACUUCUUAAUCGCUCAUUGACUUUCCACAGGUUUUUGUUUGUACAUAUGCUUGAUUCCCUUCGUCUUGAAGGAAUUUUUUGUAACUAAACUUAGCACUUUGUACUCUCCAAAUUGUGCCUAAGAGUUGGUUAGUAUAUUUACUUAUUUUAAACUCUUUGGUUUUGUUGUAAGUUUUAAACUUCAUCUUUGAUGUAAAAAUCUUAUCCAA
rnacentral:sRNA from 1 species